GAUGAACGCUGGCGGCGUGCCUAAUACAUGCAAGUCGAGCGAACGGGGGAGAAGCUUGCUGCUCUGAUGUUAGGGGCGCACGGGCGAGUAACACUUGGACAACCCCCCUAUUAGACUGGGAUAACUUCGCGAAACCGGAGCUAAUCCCGUAUAAUAUUUUGAACCGCAUGGUUCACAAGUGAAAGGCGGUCUUUCUGCGACUUAUGGAGGGAUCCGCGCUGCAUUGGCUAGUUGGUAAGGAAACGGCUUACCAAGGCAACGAUGCAUAGCCGACCUAGGGGGGAGAGCGGCGACACUGGAAGUGAGACACGGUCCAGGCUCCUACGGGAGGCAGCAGUAGGUAAUCGUACGCAAUGGGCGAAAGCCGGACGGAGCAACGCCGCGUGAGUGAUGAAGGUCGUCGGAUCGUGAGACUCUAUUAGUAGUGGAGAGCAUAUGGGUAAGGAACUGUGCACAUAUUGACGGUACCUAAUCAGAAAGCCACGGCUAGAUACGUG
rnacentral:rRNA from 1 species